UUUUUUUUAAAAUAUGUAGCAUAUAUUGCGUUAGCAUGGCCCAUAGGGCAAUAUUACAAACAGGGCCUAGAAACAUACAAAAAAAGAGGCACAAUCAAUCUCAAACUAAACGACCCAAGACAAGGCAACUUAGCCAAUCAACCAAGAAAACCUAAUCUUAGCAGAGAGAAACAACCACCUUAACAAGCACCGCCGCCUACCUCCCAGCUUAAAGCAAGAACUGCUGGAAAGGUUGUGGAGAGACCCGUCAUUCAAAGCAAGAAAACUAAAAGCACAAACCAAGGCCACCAACAGAUCUCCAUGAAAUCAACACAUGAUCUCCUUCCAAUCAGCAGAACCACUAGCCAGCAAAGGAGGGUAAUACCACAACCCUCACUGGCUUCUCAAUCUCUUUUGGCUUAGGGAUCAGCCUUCAAAGAGAGAGGAGGCAUAUGCCCCUGUAGAUCUGCCACGAAGACACCCUCUUUGUGAAGCUCCAG
rnacentral:misc_RNA from 1 species